UUUUUUGAACGAAAGGGGUUUUCCCUCUACCCCAUUUUAUUAAAAUGAAGCAAAACAGAGUCUUACAUACCAUCAAACCAGCUAAAACAAGAACAACCAAAGACUACAUCCAAUCAACUUAGGCAGAUUCCAAAAGUAGCAGCUAAACAGACAUGCGCAAAAACAACAUAAGUUUUUUCAUUACAGACAUAAUUACAACAACUAGAUCCCCUUGCUCCCUCUCAGCAUCAUCUCUAUGCGACCCGAAGCAGUUCCCCACGCAUGUUGUUCAGUUGCCUGAUAAAAUCCCGCAGCAGAGUUUCUUGAGCAUCGGAGAAAAAAAAUCUUUCAUUGGUUUAGAUAGAUAUCCAACUUUGCAAGAAUGUAUUUUGCACUUCUCCAACAUCGGCCCUGAAAACAGAAUUCAUUCCUAAGCUUUCAUAUACUCCACAAGGCGGCUAGCUUUAGGUAGGUGCUACUUUUGGAUAUGAUCUUGCUCUUGUCACUCAGGGAUAUCUUAGCUUUAGUGUCGCGUUUAACACUCUGCUGGUAGUUUAUAAGAAAUACAUUGUGGUUCUUGAUAUUUUCAAAAAAUAAUAAAAAUAAUGGGUGUAUUUGGUGGAUAAUGUAUGUGCUUGUUCUCUCAUCAGUAUGGAUUACUCCUUGUUAUACGUUUUCUGCUUAAUAAUGGUACUCUACUAUGUACUCCCUUCGUCCGAUGAAGAGUGUACGUUUGACUUUAAAAUUUGUCCAAAAAAAAUGUACUUUUAUCUUUCCAAUGCACUUUAAAGUAGGAAAAAAUGCUUCUCUUUCAUCACACGGUAAUCAAGACCAAUAACAUUAUACACAUAGUCUUCUUAAUUUUUAUAUGCACUUAGCUCAUUGGGGAUUGGAUAAUUAAAGAGGAGAGAGAUGGUGGCUUGCACCUUUCCAAUAUAUUUUUUUACACCACUUAAUAAUUUAUCUUAAAAUAUCUAUAUGUACACUUUUCACCGGACGAAGAGAGUGAGUACUUAACUUUACAACAGUUACAGAAACAAUGGUACAAUAAAGACACCACGAUAGUGCAGUUGAAGUGCUUGUAGUACUACUACUACCGUGCCUGUAAACCAAGUAGCCUAGUCCAGGAAGGAAAUGAGAGAUUGCGGACCUCUUUCUUUAAAUAGUCCUAGGACUUUUUUUAAUCCCAAAUAAAGAGUCUUUAGUCCCUAUCCGUUUCUUUUAGGGGACUAAACAUGGAUUAGAGAUCAUUAAAUGACAUGUAAAAAAAACAUGUUACAUUUAGUAAUGUAUUAAAAAUUAUUAAAUGACAUGCUAAAAAUAAGGGCACUGUUGGAAAAAGUGUCAAAAAAGUUUCAAAAGAUCCUCCUAUAGGGACUUUUCCUUUAGUCCCAAACACCCCUUUUAGUCCCUAAAAGUCCCUCCUGUUUUUUCACAUGGAACUAAGAGUGAUUUUUUUAAUCCCUACAGCAAAAAGUCCAUGUAAAGAAACACUCCCUGCGGCCCUCUUUAAACCAACAACAGCUGACCAGUCGAGUUUUUAGCACUUCCGUAUUUCCCCUGAAGAGACGUCCAAACAGGCAGCGCGGUACUUUCACUUUUGCACCACACAGGUGUCGAACUGAACCUGCGCCACCGGUGGGCAGUAAACACCGCCUGACAGUGAACUAAACCAAACUGCACUCGAAUUAAUUUCAGAAGCAGCAGUACAGAAAUGCUUUUCGCGGCUCGAUCUGACACCGGCGCGGGCCGUGGAGGAGUAGUACCACUAAAAUUGCACCACUUGUUAACGGCGAAGAGAGGACAUUAAUGCGGAAGGAAAAUGCAGUUGCGGAUGGGGAAGAUGGACGUGCACUCGCGCGGCGACAGAUCAGAGAUCGGAGCGGACGCGGCUGACCUGCGAGCUGCUACAGGGAACACUCGGCGACGUGUCGACGCCCGCCCCGAAUCGGGUGGUGGUUUCUCGCGCCGCGCAGCGCCGCGCCGGCCCCCACAUCCCAGGAGACCACGACGUGCGGCUUCAUGGCGGGUUGGUGGCCGAUUUCUCUCCCCCCCUGCGCGGCCAGCGCGACGCGCGAGUGCCAGUUCGGGAUACGCCGCUUCCGUUGGGAUCGGGUGUCGCGGAAAGGCCACCGAUCCGCUUCUCCUUUCCUUGCUCGGUCCAAGCACACUUCGCGCUGCGGGGCAGGCGCGAGCGCAC
rnacentral:lncRNA from 1 species